rnacentral:rRNA from 1 species
ACGGAGGGGGCUAGCGUUGUUCGGAAUUACUGGGCGUAAAGCGCACGUAGGCGGCUUUGUAAGUUAGAGGUGAAAGCCCGGGGCUCAACCCCGGAAUUGCCUUUAAGACUGCAUCGCUUGAACGUCGGAGAGGUGAGUGGAAUUCCGAGUGUAGAGGUGAAAUUCGUAGAUAUUCGGAAGAACACCAGUGGCGAAGGCGGCUCACUGGACGACUGUUGACGCUGAGGUGCGAAAGCGUGGGGAGCAAACAGG